AUGCAAAGAACUUUGAAAAGAGAGUUAAAGAGUACCUGAAAUUGCUGAAAGGGAAGCGAUGGAUACCAGUGUUUGACUUGGUCAUAUUUCUGAUACUGCUUGCAGUGUUAGCGCUGUGAUUUUGUCUUUGUUAGCUCUGGCUGGUUUUGUGUCAUACGGCCCUUGGAUCGUUGAUCCAUUGGUUUUGUCAUGUUUCUGGCUUCAGCUGACGAAAUGGUCUUCAUUGUCCCGUCUUGAAACACGGACCAAGGAGUCCAACAUAUGUGCGAGUACAGAGUUGUCAAAAUUCCGUGCGCAAUGAAAGUAACAGUGGUGGGAUUUUUGCACCAUCCGCCGGCCAUUAGCCUUCGGGCUUUAGGUCUGAGUGUGAGCAUGUCUGUUGGGACCCGAAAGGUGGUGAACUAUUCCUGAAUAGGGUGAAGCCAGGGGAAACUCUGGUGGAGGCUCGUAGCGAUUCUGACGUGCAAAUCGAUCGUCAAAUUUGGGUAUAGGGGCGAAAGACUAAUCGAACCGCCUAGUAGCUGGUUCCCUCCGAAAUUUCCCUCAGGAUAGCUGAAAUUGUUAACAUUUUCAUGG
rnacentral:rRNA from 1 species